UUGAUCUAUUUCGACCUCACUCAGACUGUCACCACGGUCUUACCUUGAAUGAUGCAAUCCUUCAACCUAUCCUCGAGACAUUAUGUCAACAAAUUGUACAUUGUUUAAAUU